rnacentral:rRNA from 1 species
UACAGAGACUGCAAGCGUUAUUCGGAUUCACUGGGCGUAAAGGGUGCGCAGGCGGCCAAGUGUGUGAGGCGUGAAAGCCCGGGGCUUAACCCCGGAAUUGCACCUCAAACUACAUGGCUAGAGCAUUGGAGAGGGUAGCAGAAUUCAUGGUGUAGCAGUGAAAUGCGUAGAUAUCAUGAGGAAUACCAGAGGCGAAGGCGGCUACCUGGACAAUUGCUGACGCUCAGGCACGAAAGCGUGGGGAGCAAAAGGGAUUAGAAACCGAGUAGUCC